UUUAGAGUUUGAUUCUGGUUCCAGAAGAAACGCUGCGGGCAUGCCUUAUACAAGCAAGUCGAACGAUGACUUUCAUUUAGUUUAUUAGAUGAAUUGAUUAGUGGCGAACGGGUGAGUAACACGUGGGGAAUCUGCCCAUGAGUGGGGGAUAACAUUCGGAAACGAAUGCUAAUACCGCAUAUAUCUUUAGACCGCAUGGUCUUUAGAAGAAAGACGGCUUCGGCUGUCGCUCAUGGAUGAUCNCGCGGCGUAUUAGUUAGUUGGUGGGGUAAAGGCCUACCAAGACAAUGAUACGUAGCCGACCUGAGAGGGUGAUCGGCCACACUGGGACUGAGACACGGCCCAGACUCCUACGGGAGGCAGCAGUAGGGAAUCUUCCACAAUGGGUGCAAACCUGAUGGAGCAAUGCCGCGUGAAUGAAGAAGGUCUUCGGAUCGUAAAGUUCUGUUAUUAGAGAAGAACAAGUCAAGGAGUAACUGUCUUGACUUUGACGGUACCUAACCAGAAAGUCACGGCUAACUACGUGCCAGCAGCCGCGGUAAUACGUAGGUGACAAGCGUUGUCUGGAAUUAUUGGGCGUAAAGGGAGCGCAGGCGGUUGGAAUAGUCUGAUGUGAAAGCCCACGGCUUAACCGUGGAAGGUCAUUGGAAACUGUCCAACUUGAAUACAGAAGAGGUAAGUGGAAUUCCAAGUGUAGCGGUGAAAUGCGUAGAUAUUUGGAGGAACACCAGUGGCGAAGGCGACUUACUGGUCUGUAAUUGACGCUGAGGCUCGAAAGCGUGGGUAGCAAACAGGAUUAGAUACCCUGGUAGUCCACGCCGUAAACGAUGAGUGCUAAGUGUUAGGGGGUUUCCGCCCCUUAGUGCUGGAGUUAACGCAUAAGCCACUCCG
rnacentral:rRNA from 1 species